GGACAGGUAAGGGGGAGGGGUUAUUGUACAGCUAUGUCCUAAUACACAGCGCCUGACAGGACAGGUAAGGGAGAGGGGUUAUUGUACAGCUAUGUCCUAAUACACAGCGCCUGACAGGACAGGUAAGGGAGAGGGGUUAUUGUACGGCUAUGUCCUAAUACACAGCGCCUGACAGGACAGGUAAGGGAGAGGGGUUAUUGUACAGCUAUGUCCUAAUACACAGCGCCUGACAGGACAGGUAAGGGAGAGGGGUUAUUGUACAGCUAUGUCCUAAUACACAGCGCCUGACAGGACAGGUAAGGGAGAGGGGUUAUUGUACAGCUAUGUCCUAAUACACAGCGCCUGACAGGACAGGUAAGGGAGAGGGGUUAUUGUACAGCUAUGUCCUAAUACACAGCGCCUGACAGGACAGGUAAGGGGGAGGGGUUAUUGUACAGCUAUGUCCUAAUACACAGCGCCUGACAGGACAGGUAAGGGGGAGGGGUUAUUGUACAGCUAUGUCCUAAUACACAGCGCCUGACAGGACAGGUAAGGGAGAGGGGUUAUUGUACAGCUAUGUCCUAAUACACAGCGCCUGACAGGACAGGUAAGGGAGAGGGGUUAUUGUACAGCUAUGUCCUAAUACACAGCGCCUGACAGGACAGGUAAGGGAGAGGGGUUAUUGUACAGCUAUGUCCUAAUACACAGCGCCUGACAGGACAGGUAAGGGAGAGGGGUUAUUGUACAGCUAUGUCCUAAUACACAGCGCCUGACAGGACAGGUAAGGGGGAGGGGUUAUUGUACAGCUAUGUCCUAAUACACAGCGCCUGACAGGACAGGUAAGGGGGAGGGGUUAUUGUACAGCUAUGUCCUAAUACACAGCGCCUGACAGGACAGGUAAGGGAGAGGGGUUAUUGUACAGCUAUGUCCUAAUACACAGCGCCUGACAGGACAGGUAAGGGAGAGGGGUUAUUGUACAGCUAUGUCCUAAUACACACGCGCCUGACAGGUGCACAUUGGAUCAGUGCGAAAUAUCCAUAGGAGUCCAUAGAAGUUUUCCAGUCUCAGUUCAAAUACUGUACAGUCUUAUAUGCCUCAGAUACUAAAUAAAAAGUAUCCUGUAGGUUCCAUUGUCAUCCUUCCUGAUCAGAAAACACACCACGGGUUCUUCUUCGUAGGUACUUUAUAAAGAGUUCAAUCAAUCAUAGCUGUUGUAAGAGAAAGUUUUGGAAGAACAUCCACUUCAGGAGUGGGUUAGAAAACAAUGACCAGGCAAUGUGGCUGUGUACUGUGGUGAGCAAGCCUAAUGUUCCCGUUGCUUUCCUGAACACAUAGAAAAAGGCCCAGCAGAGCUGCUGUUAAAAGUUCUUAAUGACUCUGGGCCCCACAUGAACCCAGGUAGAAUGAACCCUGUCCACACCAAGGUGACUGAGUUUGACCGCGUG